rnacentral:lncRNA from 1 species
AAUCUUUUUAUCAAUAAUAAAACCUUUACCAUCCACUUACCUCGGUGAAAUUCAUAAAACAAUAUACAAAAGCAAUAACAUUAUCAUCAUCAUGAAAUCAUAUAAACUGUAUAACAUAAUACUUAUCACGCCUUUUGUAAUUCAAUCAUUACACAACAUAUUUUUCCUCUUCUACCAGCUUACUAGUAUCCGUGGGGAUCCAUAAGGGUCCCGCUACCCGUGAACCUUUAACAUUUACAACCUGAUUCCAGGGCCGUCCCCAUACCCCGUCCGGUAUGGGCGCUAAAACUAUAAACCUCAAUACCCCGUCC